CUUUUUCAUCGUUUCCCUCAUGGACUACUUUUAUGCUGGGUGGAACACAGGCUAAAGUUAAGGAAAAUCCAGAAAGAACCUUUGACUUGGUAUUGAAAGUGAAAUGUCAUGCCUCUGAAGCUGAAGAUCCUGUGAUAUUGUGGAAAUUUCCAGAGGACUUUGGAGACCAGGAAGUACUUCAGAGCGUGCCAAAAUUCUGUUUCCCCUUUGACGUUGAAAGGGUGUCUCAAAAUCAAGUUGGACAGCACUUUACCUUUGUACUGACAGACAUUGAAAGUAAACAGAGAUUUGGAUUCUGCAGACUUACGUCAGGAGGCAAAAUUUGUUUGUGUAUCCUUAGUUACCUGCCAUGGUUUGAAGUAUAUUACAAGCUUCUAAAUACGCUGGCAGAUUACUUGGCUAAGGAACUGGAGAAUGAUUUGAAUGAAACUCUCAAAUCACUCUAUAACCACCAAGUACCAAAACCAAACACUCCUGUCAAUUUGAGUGUGCAUUCCUACUUCAUUGCCCCUGAUGUAACUGGACUCCCAACAAUACCUGAGAGUAGAAAUCUUACAGAAUAUUUUGUUGCUGUGGAUGUGCACAACAUGCUGCGACUGUACGCCAGUAUGCUGCACGAAAGACGCAUCAUUGUCACCUCUAGCAAAUUAAGCACUUUAACUGCCUGUCUCCAUGGAGCAGCUGCUCUGCUGUACCCAAUGUACUGGCAACACAUAUACAUCCCGGUGCUUCCCCCACACCUGCUGGACUACUGCUGUGCCCCAAUGCCAUACCUGAUUGGAAUACACUCCAGCCUCAUAGAGAGAGUGAAAAACAAAUCAUUGGAAGAUGUGGUUAUGUUAAACGUUGACACAAACACUUUAGAAUCACCAUUUAAUGACUUGAGCAACGUACCAAGUGAUGUGGUCUCGGCCUUGAAAAAUAAACUGAAGAAGCAGUCUACAGCUACGGGUGAUGGAGUAGCUAGGGCCUUUCUUAGGGCACAGGCUGCUUUGUUUGGAUCCUACAGAGAUGCACUGAGAUACAAACCUGGUGAGCCCAUUACUUUCUGUGAGGAGAGUUUUGUAAAGCACCGCUCAAGUGUGAUGAAACAGUUUUUGGAAACGGCAGUUAACCUCCAGCUUUUUAAACAGUUUAUUGAUGGUCGAUUGGCAAAACUAAAUGCAGGAAGAGGUUUCUCUGAUGUAUUUGAAGAAGAGAUCACUUCAGGUGGCUUUUGUGGAGGGAACCCAAGGUCAUAUCAGCAAUGGGUGCACACAGUCAAGAAGGGAGGUGCACUAUUCAAUACAGCAGUGACCAAAGCAACUCCUGCUGUACGGACAGCAUAUAAAUUUGCAAAAAACCAUGCCAAGCUGGGAGUAAAGGAAGUGAAGAGGAAGCUAAGACACAAGGAAAGUGAAGAAGAUUAUGGGACUUGUUCUGGUUCUGUACAAUAUACACCAGUUUACACAUUACAUGAUGAAAAGGGAGGAAACCAGGAAAAGCUUAAGCUUGCCCAGGCACAAUUAAAAAGACCUCUUAAAAGCCUCGACAGUGCUCUGUAUGAUGACGAUGAUGACGACAUUGAAAGAGCAAGCAAGUUAUCUUCUGAAGAUGGCGAAGAAGCUUCUGCAUAUUUUUAUGAAAGUGAUGACUCUGUUGAAAUGAGAGUAAAGACUCCCUACUCAGGUGAAAUGGACUUACUAGGAGAGAUCCUUGAUACACUGAGCACACACAGCUCAGAUCAAGGGAAGCUGUCAGCUGCAAAGAGCUUGGAUUUCUUCAGAUCAAUGGAUGAUAUUGAUUACAAACCUGCGAAUAAAUCCAAUGCACCUAGUGAGAAUAACCUGGCCGUCCUUUGCGGGGGUUCUGGAGAUCGAGCAGAGUGCAAUGUCGGGCAGGAUGACAGUGCCCUCCACGGCACACACCUUCCUCCCGCUCCCAGGAAGCGGGUUUCCUCGAGUGCUUUGACAGAUUCACUAUUUAUCCUGAAGGAAGAAAACGGUGAAAAACACCUCAGUGCUGACAGUGCAAGUGGCCCUCCUGUGGUGGAAAAGCCAGCUUUUACUUCUGGGCUGGAUUUCCAACUAGCUGCCCCUGAAGUUUCCCCAACUGAUAAAGGAAAAACAGAAAAGAAAGAAACACUAAGCCAGAGUUCAGAUGAUCUGCUUAUACACAGCCUUGGGCGGCAUCCAUCUACUUUUGUUCCUUGGGAAAAAGAAGGAAAAGAAGCCAAAGAGAUGUCCGAAGAUAGUGGACUGCUCCAUGAAGUAGUGUCAUUAUGUCACAUGACAUCUGACUUCCAACCAGGCUUAAACAUUUCGGAAGAAAACACAAGUGGAAAUCAUGCUCAAAUCCACAAUUAAGGGUCAGUCACUUGCAUCCAGAUUUCCAUGGAGACAUUUUGGGAUUCCAUAUAAUCUGUAUAGUAAACAAUUUUUUGUAGGAAUGACAACUCUUACUACUAUUUAAUUUUUUUUUUCCCCAUCUGGAACAUACAUUUCCCCCAUUUGUUCAUCUCAUGGAUAUCUGUUAUCCAUUGAUUUUUAAAUGUAAAACGAAUUCUUCUACUGUGCUCUGAAAUCAGAAGCAAAAACAAAAACUCUACAUGUUAUUUUUGAAAAAAACCACAGAAGACUAGAAACAAGGAUUGGUAUUUCAGGCCAUUAAAAUUUUGAAUAUUCAAAGUCUGCUCUUAAACUAGACCUCCCAGUAUUAUGGUAAGAAUGAGGGUGAGUUCUAAAAUAAAUGGAAGUGUUGUCUCAUUUUUCUGCUGUGCCCAGAUUUUCUAUUGUAACUAAACCAAAUAUUUGUAAACUCCUCUGCUGUUUGAAAUUAUUUUUCAAAGAAGCAACACGUGUUAAUAUAACAGAAUUGUAUAAACUAAUAGGACUUUUGGCUUUGGUAUAUCGUCUUUCAGAUCUAUGUGGCCUCUAAACUGAGUCGUGAUUCUUCCUGAAUCCUACUGUAGCCUUUAUUCUUUUGCCCUUAGGCAUCCAUAGUAUUUAGGGGGAUAGAGAAGUAGUGUAUGAAUUUAAGAGCUGUUGUUUUGUUAAGUGAAAAUGUUGCUAAGUGGUAUAUUUUGAUGGUACCUACUUUAGCAUAUCUUAGAAAGGCACCAAAAUAUAGCAUGAUUGUUUUUCUGAUUAAGAAUUAAUAUACAUCAUUUAUUUAGGAAAUAUUUACUGACUUUUUGUACCAGUCAUAUACAAGGUACAGUAACAGAUGAUGUAGGGAAAUAAAAUAGUUGGCAUAGUCCCUGCUCUGAAGAAAUCAAUUAAAAGGAAAAGGAAUUAUAAAUCUGCUGAAAUAAUAAUUAUAAUAAUGUACUCAGGGGUUAUUAGCCCAAUAUUCUAACAUCUAAAAAGAAGUUUUUUAGAACAGCUUAACCUAAAGCAUGCUCAAGUUCAGAACCGUAGUACCAUUUCUAAUGUCAUUAACUUUCUCAAUUGUUAUGCUAAUAAUGCUGUUAAGAUAUCCACUUUUAAAGGAUAAAUUCAAACUCUUACAAACUGAGUGUCCUUGUUUAUCUGAUUCUUUGUCAGCUAACCAGUCAGCACAGGACUCUCUGGAAUGGAAUCAUGCUCCUUUGCAACACUUAGGGCCACUUGACUUACUUUAGGAACAAUUUAGGGUGCGGGUGCAGUUGAUGGGAAUCCAGUCUUUGCUAUUUUUAUCUUGGCAACAGCAUUCUCUAGAAACAGUUCCUCCCUUUUAAAUUAAAACUCUAUAUGACAGCACUGUUACUAGGAUUCUGCACUAAUGUCCUAAUAAUGGGAUCCAGGAAUGCUAGUGACAACAGGGGAAGAAAUAGACUAGAAAACUGUGAGUGCCCUCAUAAUCAGCAGACCUUCGUUCUCUUCCAGGGAAUACGGAUUUUCAGGAAAAGAUUGUUUUCAUGAAUAAAUUUUCUAAUGUGAAUUCCAUUUCAUUUGGCAUAAAAGACCCUUAAUCUGAGAAAAUAUUUGUAAAUCGGAAUAUAAAUUUAAGAAUUUAUCCCCAAAUCUAAUUUCCCACAAAGCACUUCUUAAUGUAAGAAGUAGUUUCUCCAAACCCUUUGUCAGUAUUAACAUCUUUCCUAUGACAAGCCCAGUAAUAUUGUUAGUGUGUGUUUCUUAAAGCGUACUUAAGAGGCAGAACGGUUCUGAGCAAACCUCUUACAUGAUUUGGUCAAGAAAUAGGGAGUUAUGUGCAUUUAGACAUAAACAUUUCAUUUUGAAAAUAAUAGGAUUUUGUGCAAUAUUUUUUUCUUGCAUAAUUUAGUUUAUAUAAAUAUGCACAUCUGCUUUUCUGGCAGAUGCCUUAAGGUCAUGUUUUUCAGUAUUUGUGUAAAACUGUAUGUAGCAAUGUUCUGUGUCAAUUUAGAAAAAGUAUAUUCUUUAUAUUGUUGGUGGGAGAAAUGUUUUUGUUUAUUUAAAAUAAUUAUGGAUAUUGUAUUAUUGUAUCAUAACUAACUGCCUCAGCAACAAUAAAUAUGCAAUAAGAAAAUCAUGUACCUUAGAUUAGGAUUGACAGUUCUGUUACUUUAAAAGAAAUUUAUAUGGUACAAAGUGCUGAUUCUACAUGUGUACAUUUAACAGAUACUUAGUCCUGUACCACAUAAAUAGAAAUGGAAUUUGUAUGGUGAUGACCACAUAUGUAGAUUGUAAUAUUCUUUGUGAUGAAUCUUUGCUAAGAUUUAUAAAGGGCAUUACCAAUACUUUUUUGACUUUCUGUAAAUUAAGUUAAUUUUUUGUAUGAUGUACAGUUUGUUUAACCUUAGAGCUUCUAUAGAUUUCUACUCUUAUUAUACUUGAAUAAGGCAGAAAAGCACUGUGGAAAAUCUGUAGCUCUGGAUGUGAUAUGCAGACAUACCAAAAAAAAAAAAACAAAAAAAAAACAACAACAAGGUACUGAACAGCAAUGUUAAUGGAAUGCUUUAUAUCCAGAAAGCUAUGUUUUUUCAAGCCACAUUUUAGUUAAGUGAAGUAACUGAAGAUAUACAAUCUUUUAACUUAAAAUGUUGCAAAGUGAGAAAUGAUUACCUCUUUGAUACGAUGAACCUAUAAGUCUGUUCAUCUCCAUGUUAUCUCAGUUCUCAAAUGGGAGCCUUGUUGAGGUCCAUAACAAAUCCACCAUCUGGGUGGUUAUGUGAUGUUUAGGACAGGACAGAAUUAGAAAUCUGUGCAUGUUAAAUGCACCACAUAUGUCAAGUCGCCAUUCUUCAGAUAGUGUAAUUCCCAUGAGGUUAUUUUGAGAGCCAUUUAAUAAUCAUAUACCAAAAGCUAGAUCUCCUGAAUAUAUUAUGAUUUAGUACUUAAUCUCAGUGCCUAAAACAGCAAUGAAAAGGAACUGCAUGCGUCCUACAACUUAAAAUGCAUACUUUUUUGCAUAAAAGCUACAGGAAGGUUCAAAAUUAAACUUUUCCAAAGCUGAUUUGUUUUGCUUUAGAUGAAGAGCUGUUUAAAAGGACUGAAAAUCCUGAGCACUUUGCUCGACGUGGUAAUCGCUAGCUACCUGUAAAAAGCUGCUCAGCAUUGAGCUUUCCUUCAUUGUUUUUGCCUCCUUGACGCUACAGUAUAAAUCAUCUCAAAAGUUGACUACUGGCGGGAAGACGUUGUGUGUAAAAGUAUGGCUUUGAGAAUGUUUUUACAAAUAUGCAAAAAUAAACAUUGGAUGAAGUCUACAUUACCAUAAAGUACCCAACAAUGCUGUUAUAA